AUUGAACGCUGGCGGCAUGCCUAACACAUGCAAGUCGAACGAGUGGCGGACGGGUGAGUAAUGUCUGGGAAACUGCCUGAUGGAGGGGGAUAACUACUGGAAACGGUAGCUAAUACCGCAUACCAUCGGAUGUGCCCAGAUGGGAGUAGCUAGUAGGUGGGGUAACGGCUCACCUAGGCGACGAUCCCUAGCUGGUCUGAGAGGAUGACCGGCCACACUGGAACUGAGACACGGUCCAGACUCCUACGGGAGGCAGCAGUGGGGAAGAUUGCACAAUGGGCGCAAGCCUGAUGCAGCCAUGCCGCGUGUGUGAAGAAGGCCUUCGGGUUGUAAAGUACUUUCAGCAGGGAAGCGGUACCCGAAGAAAAAGCACCGGCUAACUACGUGCCAGCAGCCGCGGUAAUAC
rnacentral:rRNA from 1 species